GACGAACGCUGGCGGCGUGCUUAACACAUGCAAGUCGAACGGAAAGGCCCUGCUUUUGUGGGGUGCUCGAGUGGCGAACGGGUGAGUGACACGUGAGUAACCUGCCCUUGACUUUGGGAUAACUUCAGGAAACUGGGGCUCAUACCGGAUAUGAGCUCCUGCUGCAUGGUGGGGGUUGGAGAGUUUCGGCGUUUGGGGAUGGACUCGCGGCUUAUCAGCUUGUUGGUGGGGUGGUGGCUUACCAAGGCUUGGACGGGUAGCCGGCCUGAGAGGGUGACCGGCCACAUUGGGCUUGAGAUACGGCCCAGACUCCUACGGGAGGCAGCAGUGGGGAAUAUUGCACAAUGGGCGGAAGCCUGAUGCAGCAACGCCGCGUGCGGGAUGACGGCCUUCGGGUUGUAAACCGCUUUCGCCUGUGACGAAGCGUGAGUGACGGUAAUGGGUAAAGAAGCACCGGCUAACUACGUG
rnacentral:rRNA from 1 species